rnacentral:rRNA from 1 species
AGAGUUUGAUCAUGGCUCAGGAUGAACGCUAGCGGCAGGCUUAACACAUGCAAGUCGAGGGGCAGCGAGAGUAGCAAUACUUGUCGGCGACCGGCGCAAGGGUGCGUAACACGUGAGCAACAUACCCCUAUCUGGAGGAUAACCGGAGGAAACUCUGACUAAUACUCCAUAAUAUCAGAUGGCGGCAUCGUCAUUUGAUUAAAGAUUCAUCGGAUAGUGAUUGGCUCGCGGGACAUUAGCUAGUUGGUCAGGUAACGGCUGACCAAGGCGACGAUGUCUAGGGGUUCUGAGAGGAAGGUCCCCCACACUGGAACUGAGACACGGUCCAGACUCCUACGGGAGGCAGCAGUGAGGAACAUUGGACAAUGGUCGGAAGACUGAUCCAGCCAUGCCGCGUGAAGGUUACAGUCCUAUGGAUUUUAAACUUCUUUUGUAUGUAAGCAAUAAGGUGUACGUGUACACCGAUGAGAGUAUCAUACGAAUAAGCAUCGGCUAACUCCGUGCCAGCAGCCGCGGUAAUACGGAGGAUGCAAGCGUUAUCCGGAUUUAUUGGGUUUAAAGAGUGCGUAGGCGGAUAUGUAAGUCAGCGGUGAAACUCACAGGCUCAACCUGUGCCGUGCCGUUGAAACUGUGUAUCUGGAAUGCGGAUGCUGUGGGAGGAAUGUGUAGUGUAGCGGUGAAAUGCAUAGAUAUUACACAGAACACCGAUUGCGAAGGCAUCUCACAAAGCCGUUAUUGACGCUGAGGCACGAAAGUGUGGGGAUCAAACAGGAUUAGAUACCCUGGUAGUCCACUACUGUAAACUAUGAUAACUCGCUGCCAGCGACAGACAGUUGGUGGCCCAGCGAAAGCGAUAAGUUAUCCACCUGGGGAGUACGACCGCAAGGUUGAAACUCAAAUGAAUUGACGG